CUCUUGGAUAAGAGGAGAGAAAAUUUUCAUGUCCAAACUAGGACAAAAGAGAGAGAUAAGAGCUUAACAACCAACCUUUGGUUGUUGGUAAGGAAGAAAAGAUUGAAGCCACAACAAACCUCAUGCCUCCCUUCAUCAUGUCGUGCCUCUCUUUAUCCUUAUUUUUCAUGCAUGCCUCUCCUCUAAUUGGCAUCCAAAAUCUGAUCAUCAUCAGCCCAUCUAACACCCCAUAUGGUGC
rnacentral:lncRNA from 1 species